rnacentral:rRNA from 1 species
AAUAGAUACCCUGGUAGUCCACGCUGUAAACGAUGAGGACUAGAUGUUGGUAGGGGAACCUAUCGGUAUCGAAGCAAACGCGAUAAGUCUUCCGCCUGGGAAGUACGGCCGCAAGGUUGAAACUCAAAUGAAUUGACGGGGGCCCGCACAAGCGGUGGAGCAUGUGGUUUAAUUCGAUGCAACGCGAAGAACCUUACCUACCCUUGACAUCCUAGGAACCCUGCAGAGACGUAGGGGUGCCGAAAGGAACCUAGAGACAGGUGCUGCAUGGCUGUCGUCAGCUCGUGUUGUGAGAUGUUGGGUUAAGUCCCGUAACGAGCGCAACCCUUGCCCUUAGUUGCCAGCAUUAAGUUGGGGACUCUAAGGGGACUGCCGGUGAUGAACCGGAGGAAGGCGGGGACGACGUCAAGUCAUCAUGGCCUUUAUGGGUAGGGCUACACACGUGCUACAAUGGGGCGUACAGAGGGUAGCCAACCCGGCGAGGGGGAGCCAAUCUCAGAAAGCGUCUCGUAGUCCGGAUUGGAGUCUGCAACUCGACUCCAUGAAGUUG